ACUGCCUUCUCUGUAGAGACUGAGAACACAGGACUUCACCAUGGAAUGGAGCCAGAUCAUCCUCUUUCUAGUGGUAGCAUCUACAUGUGUUCACUCUGAGGUUCAGCUGCAGCAGUCUGGAUCUGAGCUGGUGAGACCUGGGUCCUCAGUGAAGAUGUCCUGCAAGACUUCUGGCUACACCUUUACCGGCUAUGUUAUACACUGGGUAAAGCAGAGCUCUGGACAUGGCCUUGAGUGGAUUGGAUGGAUUUAUCCUUACAAUGAUAAUACUAACUACAAUCAAAAGUUCAAGGACAAGGCAAUGCUGACCACAGACAAAUCUUCCAGCACAGCCUACAUGGAGCUCAGCAGCCUGACAUCUGAGGACUCUGCGGUCUAUUACUGUGCAAGGCACAGUGUUGCAACCACAUCCUGA